rnacentral:sRNA from 1 species
UGGAAGCGUUUUGGGUGCUAUGCCCAUAC